UUUGCAUCUCUUCCCUAUGAGUUGGUAACAUUAAAAAAACAACUGUCGAAGUCAGACGAGUGUUGGUCGAGUCUACUGUCAACUACUGUGUUUGCGAUUGAGUGUUUUAGACAAGAAAUAUGCCCAGAUGCCCAGGAUAUUGAUUACAGGGUACACCAAAUUUGGUCAACUUUCAUCAUGAGAUGCUAUAGUUCAGCUAUAGAGAGGACACAGAGAGUAAUUACAAAAAAAAACGAAUUACUAAACUGCCAGUAGAUGUCCGACAGGAGCUUACGGACAGAAAGCGGCAGGCGCAAUUAGAUUUAGCAAUAAGGCCGCCUUUUGUCUCUAGUGUCUCGAUUUAUUUGUUUGGUACGUCAUUUUGUGCAAUCAAGUAUAUUGUAUUGCAAGACUGUAAUUUUAAAUUCUAAUAAAAAAUAUAUAUUUUUA